UGCUCGGCGACGGCACGCUCGUCCGACCGAUCGGCGUCGACCGUUGGCGGCCUCGCCACGGCCUUGAGCGGGUCGAUGCGCUUGUGCGGUGGACCUCUCAGUUGCUGGCGCGGCCGCCGGCGGCGCACGCGACCCACAUAGACGCCCUCGUCUUCCUCUUGUUGCUGUUGUUGCCCCUUGCACCCACCGCUGCCGUCAUUGUUUUUGCUGUUGCUGUUGCUGUUGUUGUUGGUGUGGUCGCCAUGGUUGUCGUUGGGGUUGCGGUCGUCGACAGGCGCCUUUUGUUCUUGUGGCACCCGAGUCCUGGCGUCGCUCCUCGCGCUCGACACAGACGACGACGUCGGCGGUCCCGUUGCAGGGACGAUAGGACGUCCUACACGGCGCCGUGCGGCCGUCGUUGUCUUGGCGUCCCUCGUCGACACGGCGGCGACCGGACGCCGCUGUGGUCGCGAC
rnacentral:lncRNA from 1 species